UGGGUAAUCUUUGAACGUGAAUCGUGCUGGGGAUAGAUGAUUGCAAUUAUUCAUCUUCAACGAGGAAUUCCUAGUAAACGCAAGUCAUCAGCUUGCAUUGAUUACGUCCCUGCCCUUUGUACACACCGCCCGUCGCACCUACCGAUUGAAUGGUCCGGUGAAAUCUUCGGAUCUGAGAGAUGUUGGAUUAAUUUCUGACGCCUUUUGGAAAAGUCGCUUAAACCUUAUCAUUUAGAGGAAGGUGAAGUCGUAACAAGGUUUCCGUAGGUGAACCUGCGGAGGGAUCAUUA
rnacentral:rRNA from 1 species